rnacentral:rRNA from 1 species
CCUACGGGAGGCAGCAGUAGGGAAUAUUGCACAAUGGGGGAAACCCUGAAGCAGCAACGCCGCGUGGAGGAUGAAGGUUUUCGGAUUGUAAACUCCUUUUGUUAGAGAAGAUAAUGACGGUAUCUAACGAAUAAGAACCGGCUAACUUCGUGCCAGCAGCAGCGGUAAUACGGAGGGUGCAAGCGUUACUCGGAAUCACUGGGCGUAAAGAGCGCGUAGGCGGGUUAGGAAGUCAGAUGUGAAUUCCUAUGGCUUAACCAUAGAACUGAAGUUGAAACUGUUAUUCUAGAGUAUUGGAGAGGUAGGUGGAAUUCUUGGUGUAGGGGUAAAAUCCGUAGAGAUCAAGAGGAAUACUCAUUGCGAAGGCGACCUGCUAGAACAUUACUGACGCUGAUGCGCGAAAGCGUGGGGAGCGAACAGGAUUAGAUACCCGAGUAGUC